GCGUCUGUGAUGGGCGCAGGGUCUGUGAGGUGCAAAGGCCAUUUAGUGUGUGGCCUUAGUUAAUUUUUUGUUUUCAAUUUUCUGUCUCUCAUGUUAUUGAUCUGUAAAAGGAGCAUAAUCGUAAGUGUCUCUUCUUAUUAGGUUACUUGUGAGGCGUAAGUGAAGUACUAUGUGUUAACUAGUAUCAUGAAACUACAGCCUCACUCUCCGGAGGAAAUAGUGUAAUGAUAGCGCCGUUUACAGGGUGCACCGUAACAGGAGGCAAAAACAGAGGUGGAUACGUGCAGAGAAGUCUUUAGGUGGUCUUGACACUAGAGCUGAAUUUGAAGGAAGUUGAGAACUUGUUAGAUGAAGGGACCUGAGAACAGGAACAAGUGUUCACCAAGACCGGUCUGUGUGAACACACAGAGGCGGAAAUCAUGCCAAAACUUGCAGAGUGGCAGGAAACUCCAUUCAGCUGGAGAAAGCAUACAUAUGGAGGGAGUGAAAGGAGAUAACAGUGGAGAGGUCUGGGCAAAUUUAGGCUGACUUCAAGAAGGCAGGAGUUUCCUGUGAAGAAAAUUGACUGAUACAGAUUUGUGUUUUAGAAAAGUCAGUCUGUCAGCAGCUGGGAAGGUGAAGGGGAGGUGUCACACCAGAUGUAAUAAAAUUGGUUAGUGGGAUUUAGCCAUUGUUUUAAAGAGUGGUGAAGGUAAGGGGAGUGUGGAGAGAGAGAACUUUUUGGAAGUUGGUUAUAUUGAUGGGACAUGUGGAUGUGACUAUGAAGAGACGGAAUCAAAAAUGGGCCAGAAGUCCUAAAUCUGAGCAACCUGUGGCAUGUGCACAUAAAUAUGACCCGGGGACAUGUGGGUGUGAGAGUCUUUAUUUCAGCAAAAUAUACUAAGCUAGAGGUAUAGAUUUUGGAAUCUUCAACAAUUAAUUGGCCAUUGUGGCCAAGUGAAAACAUUAGGAGUCUAAAGAUAGAGCUGUGGCCAACACUCAUAUUUAAAGAAAGGCUUGAGAAGCCCAGUGAUGCAAGAAGUGUCAAGAAAAUAUCACUAUAAAAAUGUUUGAGAAGCAUGGUACUAGUCAUCAGUGUUAAAUGUGCUUCUGGUGAGGGGUUCAGGAAGUUUCCAAUCAUGACGGAAGGUGAAGAAGAGUAGGCAUCACAUAGCAAGAGGGGAUGCAAGACACAGGGAGAGAGAGAAGAGGGAGGCACCAGGAUGCUUUCAGCAAUCAAUGUCAGGAAAACUGAUAGAGCAAGAAGUCACUCAUUGUCACAAGGACGGCACCAAGCCCUUUCUGAGGAAUCUGCCCCAUGACCCAAACACCUCCCACCAGGCCCUACCACCAACACAGGGGAUCACAGUUCAAUGUGCGAUUUGGAGGCAAAACAUAUACAAACUAUACUAGGAAGACAAACUGAUGUGAGGAUGAGGAGGAGUCAGAAAUAAACUCAUUCAACUAAUACUUGAGUAGCUACUGUUGCCUACAGUAUGUUCAAGGUUUUGCUAGUCAUCCAUAUGAUCACUAUUGACAGCUUGGGAGACUCACACAGGCUAGUGAAUUUCAGGAAUUAACAGAAACUGAACAGCUUCUAUAAUCCUGCAGGAAGUAACCUCUGGAUGGCACAAACUAUGUAGAGGAAUGGUCAUUCCUCAACUCCCAUGACUGGGAUUCAAGGAGAGCUGUUCUCAGUCAUCUGCAUGUGUUUGACUUUCCUGAUUGAUGACUGCCUUAUCUCCAUCCCCUGGGAACAGUUCUAAAAUAUGAACUGAAAGUCAGGGGUCAGUGGAUGCUGCGUCUGUGAGACACAACUUCAGAGGUGACUAAACUCUCCCUAGAGCUGCCCUCCUCGAAGAUCUUUGUCCUCGGAAAUUGUCAGGGGAAUCUCAAUUUGGCAGCACCAGAUGUCCCAGAGUCUAGGGAGUCAUCAGGCACUAACUUGGGUUUUUUUAAAGUUUGAAUCACAGUUGAUUCGGAAAAUGAUGGAAAGCUGUCAACUAAAGGAAGGUCUGUCGCUCUUUUUA
rnacentral:lncRNA from 1 species